UCCUGGCUCAGGAUAAACGCUAGCUACAGGCUUAACACAUGCAAGUCGAGGGGAAACGAUAGAGAAAGCUUGCUUUUCUAGGCGUCGACCGGCGCACGGGUGAGUAACGCGUAUCCAACCUGCCCAUCACUUGGGGAUAACCUUGCGAAAGUAAGACUAAUACCCAAUGACGUCUCUAGAAGACAUCUGAAAGAGAUUAAAGAUUUAUCGGUGAUGGAUGGGGAUGCGUCUGAUUAGCUUGUUGGCGGGUAACGGCCCACCAAGGCGACGAUCAGUAGGGGUUCUGAGAGGAAGGUCCCCCACAUUGGAACUGAGACACGGUCCAAACUCCUACGGGAGGCAGCAGUGAGGAAUAUUGGUCAAUGGGCGAGAGCCUGAACCAGCCAAGUCGCGUGAAGGAUGAAGGAUCUAUGGUUUGUAAACUUCUUUUAUAUGGGAAUAAAGUGAGGAACGUGUUCCUUUUUGUAUGUACCAUAUGAAUAAGCAUCGGCUAACUCCGUG
rnacentral:rRNA from 1 species